rnacentral:sRNA from 2 species
CCCGAAGUCAUUGGGGAGUAGCCAUCUCCGUACCCAGGAGAGUUCGCGUCAACAGACUUGGUGGCCUUGUGCCCCAUGGCGCGAACGGCAGCGACGCACGCACGGUGCGUCGCCGGCCCGGCGAGACCUUUGGCCAGCGACAUGCUUACCCAGGCCGGGCGAGCGGUGUCGUUGAGCCAUCGGUAUUUUCUCGCUCGCU